ACAAUGCAACCAACAGACAGGACCACCAAUUUCAUGUCCCUGAUUUAACUGAACAUUUUACAGGGUUUGUCCUUACAAACAAAAGAUAAUUGCUCCCAUUCUGAAUCAUCUGCCCAAGACUACCCAGGGAAUCUAUAAACUGGUUGUAUUUUGAACCCAGGUCUCCUUUGUAGAAGUCCAAUUAUCUGUCCACUGAAUGACUUUGACUUUUAAAGCAAUUGCUAAAGGUGGGGGAGACAUGCUUCAUUUACAAGGUAUCUUUCCAACUUCCAAUAAUACCCCAUAUUGAUCACCACAGGUAAUUUCAACCCUUUCUGUAAUGAAAGGUCAGUUUUCUGUACUUUGAGACUGGGAAUGCUAUCGUAGUAAUACUGGUGCAUUAUUUUAUAAAUAGUCAACUCAUUACUAUUUCAAUUGAGAAAUGCUAACACUUCAAACUUUCCAGCACCAAUCAUGCUCAAUCUAGACACUAAAUAAAACAAAUCUGGAAAGUAUCCCAGGGCAGGCCUUGCCAGAACCAUUGUUCGCAGGCCCCAGCUGCAACAUUGCAUGCUGAAACUUUAGAUUUUCUUUACUCUGGUCCUCUGAACUUUACCAAGGUUAAGGCAAAUUGGAUGGGUUUUGCCUGCUAACAGCAACCAGGCCUGUGAAUAAGCACCAAUUUCUCUGGAGAACAGAAUCAAUGUGGUCCAUGGUGCUGAGGAAUGAAAUUUGAACCCACUAUAGCAUAUGUACCUGGUAGAGCAAAGUUUAGUUUAGCCUACCCACUAGGGGAGAGUGGUUAUGUAAGCUUUCAGAAUAUUUAGAAUUAGCCAAAUUGGCAGAUAUAAUAAGACAAAAACCAAAAAGUGAAGUGAAAAAGGAAUGGGAGUGUCUAAAUGAAUACCUUAAAAGCCUAGGUUCGAGGACAGAAAUCUGCCUGAGUCUGGAAUAACCUUGUGAAGUGAAAGGAUAAGAAAGAGGGAUUUAUAUCUGGAUGCUAGGAUAGAGAUGAUAAGGAAAACAGGAAAGCAGGAAGACACAAUGAGAGGUAAAGGAGGUGCUGUGGGAUUGGUGGAAGUCAAUGUUUGUUUUCUUUUUAAUGUUUAGAUUAUUAACUUGUGUUUUUUUUUGAAUGUCGGUUUUUGUGUUUUGUGUAUUGUUAUUUUUCAAUAUUUUUCGUGUUGUUGUUGUUGCUGUUGUGUGGAAAAUACUAAUAAAAUUUGCAAUUAAUUUAUUAUUAUUAUUAUUUAAAAAGGAAGAGCCUCCUCUUGGUUAACAGGUAAGGUCCUUUAGGAAGAAUGCCACCAAGGAGGAAGGGCCUAAUCUCUGCUCCCAGACUGAGUUCAGAGCCAGAAAGAAAGCUCAUAAGCCUCCACAAGUACAAACUACAUAUAAAAACACAAGACACAACAUUCACUGUUUUGAGCUCAUUAUGAGAGUUCAGCUUGUGUCUUUUCUGUUCUUUAGUGUCUUUCCUGUUCUUUUUAUUUCAGCUCAUCUCUCUAUGUUAAUAUUGAAUUGAUUCUGACAGUCUAGUAAAAUUCUCAUGAGGUGAUGAAACAGCACACCAGUGUCCACAUUAAAUGACUUGUGAGCUUGGAUAGCUCCGUUGGUGAGAGCAUGGUGUUGAUAAUGCCAAUGUUGCAGGUUCAAUCCCCCAUAUGGGACAGCUGCAUAUUCCUGCAUUGCAAGGGGUUGGACUCUAUUAUUCUAUGUAGAUGAUGAUAAUAAUAAUAAUAAUAAUAAUAAUAAUAAUAAUAAUAAUAAUAAUUUUAUCAUUCAUACCCCGCCCAUAUGGCUGAGUUUCCCCAGCCAUUCUGGGCGGCUCCCAAUCGAGUGUUAAAAACAAUACAGCAUUAAAUAUUAAAAACCUCCCUCAACAGGGCUGCCUUCAGAUGUCUUUUAAAGAUAAUAUAGCUGCUUAUUUCCUUCACAUCUGAUGGGAGGGUGUUCCGCAGGGCGGGCGCCACUACAGAGAAGGCCCUCUGCCUGGUUCCCUGUAACCUCACUUCUCGCAAUGAGGGAACCGCCAGAAGGCCCUCGGCACUGGAUCUCUGGCUGAACGAUGGGGGUGGAGAUGCUCCUUCAGGUAUACAUGACUGAGGUCGUUUAGGGCUUUAAAGGUCACCACCAACACUUUGAAUUGUGCUUGGAAACGUACUGGGAGCCAAUGCAGAUCUCUCAGGACCGGUGUUAUGUGGUCCCGGCGGCCACUCCCAGUCACCAGUCUAGCUGCUGCAUUCUGGAUUAAUUGCAGUUUCCAGGUCAACUUCAAAGGUAGCCCCACAUAGAUCGCAUUGCAGUAGUCCAAGCGGGAGAUAACUAGAGCAUCUAGAGAUAGAGACUCUCCUCCUGGAAGAGAGGGGAGUGGUUGUGGGCGGGAACCCAAGCCCCACCUCUAGCAGGGGGCGUUAGCCCCCUGCCUCCCACUCACCUGGCUGGCGCCCACGCCCAUCGGCAGGCACCCAACCAGGUGCCUCCGAGGGAGCGUGUUCAGCAGCCUAAAUGCUGCGGCGCCAGCCCCCCUGCCUCCCACUCACCUGGCUGGUGCCCACGCCCAUCGGCAGGCACCCAACCAGGUGCCUCCGAGGGAGCGUGUUCAGCAGCCUAAAUGCUGCGGCGCCAGCCCCUCCUCUGCCUCACUCUUCAUCGUCCCAUCGCGAUUCACCCACCCUCCACUCCCUUUGAGCUCAGGGUCUUAGUUUUCCUUGGCCUUGCUAUGGACCUUUGGUUGGUCGCCCUGGUUGUCCGGGGGGCCUGGUAGGAAUUUUUCCAUUUGGCAUUAGGCUUUUUGGUUUUUUCGCCUACCUCGUAGCAAUCAUCACAACUUUCGUGGUAUUGGUGGGUAGGUUAGGCAUUGGAAUAAUGUGUUGUGGUGUUGAAGGGCUAGGUGUGGCCAUCGCCUAUGCCUUUAAUUUUUGGGUAUUCCGUUAAAGGAAUCUGGCGGUCGUUCUGUCCGAUGCCUGCUUGGCGGGAGGCCAUGGCACGACCCUCGGUGACAUCAGGGGAGAGCCUAUAGUUGGAUUAGCAUCAACAGGCUCCACCUACUGGUGAAUAAACCCCCUUCGUUUCAGACUCACCCCUCUCUGAGGGGGUGGAGUCAGCUGACGUAAUCCAAUGCCUAAGCCAAUACCUUUUCACUUGCUGUAAUCAAUAAAGUUGUGGCCUUUUCUUGCCCAUUAACCUUAUAUCACGUGUCCUUGUGUAUUCAUUCCUCUUUGGGGGGAUCAGGUCCUCGAACCACAACUACAUAGAUAUACUCUAUGUAGAUAUUAUGUACCCACCAAAAUUUUACAUAUGACGUAAGUACCUCAAGCAUCAGUACUCAAGCUCAUUUGACUUUUUUACCUGCUAUCAAGUUGACUUUGCUGAACCAUGUAAUCCUGUGUGUUCUUGUUAAAAAAAAAAAAAGUGUGAAUGACCAAAGAGGGUGGGAGUGGAGGAGGAGAGCACAAGAGUGUGGAAGCCUUUGAAAACUGCCCAUGGUCUCAGUGACGCUGCAUAGAAAUGAUGUUCAUAGGUUCAUUGCAUGAUGUUUCUUAGUUGCCAAUAUAAUGCAUGUGUGUCAAACAUCCAUUUUUAAGUGUGUGUUUGAUGGGAGAGAGACGACAUUAAAGCACCCAUGAAGAACCAGCUCCUUCAAUUUUUUAAACUUGGAACUUGAAUACUGGGGGCAGGGAGGGGGACACCAUGAUCAUAGCAGUUAAGAUAGAUGUGGCAUAUCUUUUGAAAACUCUCUUCAACUUAAUUGCCUAUAUAUAGAGUGCUUUCAUGGUUAUCCCCAAAUGCCAUCUCCAGGUGACCUCUCCUGCUUAUAUUCAUUUCCUUGGGCAUCAAGAAUUAUGACUGCUGAAAUGCUGAACUUCCCUGCUUUGAGGCCAGUAAAUGUGAUCUGACAAGUUACUGGAACAAUUUCACCUUCCUAUCAAUGCAGAAGUGGAGAAAAGCGUAUUAAGAACAGCAGGGUCAACAGUAAGGCACCAUGGUAAAGAUGCGUGUAUGCUCAGAAACAGUCUGGCUAUGAAUGGAAAACAGGCCAGUUUAAAAAGCUGAAUAAUUAUUAUUUUUUUAAAAACCUUCCAAAGUUGAAGUUCAUUGCUGAGCUGUGGAUUCAAGACACUUCUAAAUGAGGCAAAACCUGGACAAAAACCAUGCUAGAUACACCAGAGGUUGAUAGUGCUCUCUUGUUUUGUUUUAAUCUAAUUGCUAGGUGGCGUUGAUGGUGGGGAAACAGCCCAGAAACUGCUAAUACAUUGGAAAAAGGCUUUACAUUUACACGGCAAACCCAAUUCCUUUGAGGAACACAGGUUGCCAAUGCAGAUGGUGCCUUCGUUAUCUUGGCAAGUGCUGCGGCAUGUGUUCUUAAUGAAACCAGUAGGACUAGUUGGGCAAAAUGUGAACCCAGAACCACAAGGGUUCUGCAGCAGGAUGCAUAUGCUACACUGCACUUCCCCUUGAUUCAUGAAGAUUAUAUGCCAAUGUUGACAGAAGUCCAAAGAGGCUAUUUGUUGGAAGCCUGUUUCACGCAGCUGAUUGUGUACAUAACUUAUGGAAGAGUGGUGAAUCUGCAUGCCUAAAUGCCUGACUCCAUGUGGAAAUUUCACACCCACAAAAAAUACUUUGAGCAUAUGAGCAUUCACCAUAUUUAUGAUUCUCUUCAGCAACAUUGUUCCCCUUGAUUUUUUUGCUUCUUUGGGGUCAUCCUCCCAAUCCCCCUCCUCUUUGGAUUAGUCACACACACAUAUAUUUAAAUUAAAACACAUUUAUUCAAAAGUUACCAUACAGCUUUGUCCACUGCCGUAAUAUCACAGAAUGAUCACUCCAAUCCUCAAUCCCUCAUCACUGAUGUACAUAUAUAUACAUGACAGUGAUGAGGGACUGAGGAUUGGAGUGAUCAUUCUGUGAGUAUAUGUAUGUGUGUGUGUGUGUGUGUGUGUGUGUGUGAAUGACUAUAUAUACACACACACACACACACACACACACACACACACACAUAUGAUCCCACCUAAUUAGGAGUCACAUGGUAAAUGGGAUUGUGUCAAAAUACUAUGUUGCUAACCUGGCUUGCCUGUAGAAUGACAUCACUAACAGCAAAGAAAGCAAAUAAGAAAUUAUUAUUUUUGCCAAUGUCACAAAUUUUAGUGAAUGGGAGCAGUUAUACUAGGUGGUUUCAUUUUAGACCUAGUUCCCUCCCUUCAGCUUGCAGGCUUCUGAAUUUUACCUGUGAUAAUUUGUCUGAAGCAGAGUAGGUAUUUCUAUAUAUUGGGAAAUGCUUGUGGGGAUACAUAUCUAUUGUCUACUGUCUAUCCUGCAAACCUUACUGGCAGACAUACAAGUUUUGUCUGCAUGACGGCUGUUAAUGGAGUACCCCUCCGAAAGGUCAGAGCCAACUGGAGUACUCACUGGAAGAAAGAAGCUCAUUUUGCUGACAUAGUGUCAGACACAAGUGAAGAGUGGAAGUCAAUGGUGCAUGAGAAGUAUUAAACUCUGCACUGACUACCACCUCCCCUUCAAAAUGUGAUUGUUGCAGAACAGUUUCCUCCCCACUGCCCUUAAAUAAGAUUUCCUGUAAAAGAUUAGUUCACACUAAAAUCUUAUGUCAAAUUUUGAGUCAAAGUCUUCUUGCAACCAUAACCGAAACACAUUUGUUUCCCCCAGUUAUUCUCUGUGGAGUUUUGUGAUGAAUAUCCACUAUGUAACUCUAAGCAGAUGAAUAUUCUGUUUAUAUUUCCAGGACUUUGAUAUUAGUAUGUGAUAUCUCAUGAUAUUUGAGAUCAACAUUUGGGUCAGGAUCCACAGUGCUUUAUGCAUGUGUUUUUGUGUGUGCAUGGGGACACCAGCAAUUUUUACUUCACCUCCUGUGCUUUCUUGGACACCGCUAUAGGUUUUGUGCUAGCUCCUCUUCCGUACAGCAGCUACUGUUACAAAAAGACAGAAAUACCCAUUCAGAAGAGCACUCCAGUGUUCUCAGAACAAACAGAGGGCCAUACUCAAUGGGUGUGCUCCUAAUAUCCAUGUGCCCAAUGACUUUGCCCUGCUUCCAACACUCAUGAGGUCAGCAGAAGAUCUGAAUGGGGAGCCUAUGCAUGUACAGGUGUGUGUGUGUGCAGAAGCUUCUCCAAGUGAUGGUGAUUCCCCCAUUGCAGAAGAUUAGUAAUUGCAAGGAGUCUACAUGCACUGGUUCCCUGUUCAGAACUUCCACCGAACACCUGGGGCUGGAGAGCAAAGCCAGUGGGCAAGUUGUCGUUGGGCAUGGGACAAUGACCACAUCGCUAAUUCCACUUCUCUGUAUUUGCUGAAUACACAGAGAGUUUUUCUGAAUAAGGCUGCAAUGGAAAGACUGGACAGGCAACCAAAACUGACAAUGGAGAGGAAUGGCAUUGCAAAUACCUUCAAAAACUAUCAGGUUCAAAGUUUCAUAGUUGAACUCCAUACAUCCAUGUCUCUUUGUACCUACAUUAGCCUUACAUUUCCCCCUAUAGUACUCCAUGACUUAAUUUCCACAACUGAACCAAAAUAUCAGUGUCUACCCUUCUGAUAAAUAGUUUCAAGGCUGUACUAUGUCAAGAUCAAGCAAAAAUAGAAGUCCAGGUUUUAAGUUGGAUUCCUAUGAUGUGUGGAACUCCAGUCAAUGUUGCUUACAGUUCCUAUUUUACCAAUAGGGAGGUACAUUCAGUGAAUCCAGCCUACCUAACAGCUUCCAAUCUUAUAGAUGCAUGAAGUUUUUUAAAUGGAGGGAAACACAGGCUGAUUUGCCCCAGGUCAUCUUGCUACAAGAGUUAAUGGCGAAGGAAUAAAGAAAAGGCCCCCAUGCAAGGCACAGAAC
rnacentral:lncRNA from 1 species